GCACCUGGAAACACAGAGCCAAGAUGGAUUAUAUUUAGUUGUCAAUCUAACACAUGUAUAGCACAAUAAUAGACAGAUAUUAGAGGGCUUGCAAGUUGACAUACGAUGCCUCCUGGCGGCCAUAUUGGAAGACCACCGAAUUAAUUCCGUCAACAGACGAGUUGCUACCCCAAACUGCACGAUAACAGUGCCUAAAACUAGUUGAUUCAUCACCACGGUCAUUUUCUGUGGAUUCGUUUGCUGCUCUAACAAGGUUCACCAGCUGACCUCUUAUCAAGACACCCACGUCAACUGGAUUCCCACUGUGAAGAUGAGCAGUGCUGCAGCAGCAUCAGCGUCUACUACUUUAGGAAACAUCGCUCAGUUAUACGAGAUGGUUGCCAUAUGCUGUGCUUUGGACAAUUUCAAUUAAUCCUGUUGUGUCAUUUGAGUAGAGCGCCUUCUCCUUGUCGUCAUGACAAAAGUGCCUCCUUAGACCAUGUGGAUAUAUAAAAUGUCCUUUGGAGCGUGUAAAAUACUAUUGUUUAUGAUAUUGUAAACAUACUCUACUUUAAUAAUAGGCUGUAUUGUUGUAUGGGUGAAAUGAAAAGUGUUGUCAUCUAUGCUUUGACUAGCCCCAUUGAAUAAAAAAUAUUUCUUAUA